GCGGGCGCCCCGCGCAGGGAAACCUGGCGGGCAGGCGGGCGGGCAGGGAAGGAAGAGGCGGUCCCGGGCUCCCACCGCGGGGCCCCACCGCCCGGCCUUCGCCCGCACCCCCAGGGCAGAAAGCUCAUUCUCAGGCCUCAAACAAAAGCCAGCUCUGAUCUAAGAGGACUGCGGGAAAUGCCCGCGGAACUUCACCAAACACUGGGUUCCCGGAAGGUAUGGAUCGUCCACUCAACGCUGCGCCAGUGACUCUUCCACACUGCCAAGUCAUUUUGCUGAGAUGUUCCAAGGACAUCAGAAACCUCUGCACCAGAGCUGACCUUCUGUCGAUUCCAUUCAAGACUUUGUUCUCACAGUUCUUAUGUUUACAACAAGUGUCUUUUCUUGGCUCCCUCAGUGUUCCUAAAUCAGUUCAAAAUGUUUAUAGCAAUUUCUGUCAAAUGAAAACUUUACGGUGUGUCCUUAUCUACUUUAGUCACCAUAUCCAUAAACUUCUGGCUCUUCCCCAAAGUCAAAGGGACCACAAAAGAGAAACAUUUUGCAUCAAUUCAGAACAUCAAGGCAGCCAUAGGACAGUGCAACUAAAGACAUUCAUGACUUAAUUGAAAAAAUGAAAAAGACAUUCAUGAAAGAGGAAUUCCAGAACUACCCCAGAAAGUGGUAAGAGCAAUGAGGAAAUCUGGGCCCCAUCACAUGACUUACUCCAGGAAGUGGGACACAAGCAAGCAUGAUGCGGGCAGAGGUUUCAUAACCUCUUCUCUGAGGCCUCUCUCUCAUCUUUUUCUGUUAGUUUUAAUUUUUGUUUCCUGAUACAGGGUCACAUUAUGUAGUUCAGGCUGGGCUCGAACUCACUAUGUAGCCCAGGCUGGCCUCGAACUAUCGGCGAUCCUCCUCCCUCAGCCUCCUGAGUGUUGGAAUUACAAGUAUGUACCAUCAUGUAUGCCUGGCUCCUUCACCCUUUUGAAACUCAUAUUCCAAGUUGUGAAGAAAUCUAACAACCAUAGGAGCACGGAGUAGGUGUGAUGAUUCAGGUAUGAGGUGCUGCAGAGCUAUUUUUUAUCCCUAUGGGUCCAGGAGGUCUCUGUGUGGGCUCCAGGGCUGAGGGGCUGGCACAGUGGGUUGGGAGUGCCAUCCCAUGCCGCUCCCACUCCCUUGGGUGUCUUGUGAGUCUCCUUGGGAGCUGCUGCCUGAGUGGAAAUGCAUAGUGGUGAAGAAUGUACUGGAUCCCUGGUCCUCGAGGUGAAGCUGGUGGGACCUGUGGAGGCACUGUGGAUGCUGUAUGCACCCCUGGACUUAGUAGUCUCUAGCGAGGUGGAGAUGCCAACACCGUGUGCAGUGCCCUGGAGGCCGUGUUUAUCCAUGGCCUCUGUGCCAAGCACAUGUGCCAAGGCUGGAAGGAAAGUGCCCACCAGAAGCCUCUGUCUCAGCCUGUCUUCUGGCCUUGACUGAAAGCUGUUGCCCACAGGUGAGAUCAGCUGGAGAGGUUUUCCUUAGAGGGGGUGCUUCCAAGUGUGGGACACUUGGCUCUUUCUCUCCAGACACAAUGUGUUCUAGUGAGGGCCACAGAGUUACAGUUAUCAGCGAGGGGCUUAGGUACCGUCCAGUGGACUCAGGAGCUAGACUGCCUGAGUUGUCCAUUCACCACCUUUCUGACCUUGAAAAGUACCCAUCAUUUCUGACCUUGACUCCUUAUUAGUAAAUGAAGAUAUGAAUUCUUCAAACCAAUGAGGAUUAAAUGAGUCAAAAUAUGGAACAUACGUAGAACAAUCUCUUAG
rnacentral:lncRNA from 1 species